AGGGGGAGCCAUCUUCAACGGCUCUGCCAGCAGAGAUUCUACAAAAGAGUGCCUUGAUGGCACCUCAAGUUAAAUCAGCGACGGUGGCGCCAUCAUCGGCAGACGCGGAGUUUUCUGGGUCCUUGCUGCCCAUCGUGACAAGUCAGAGGGAGAGAUAUCGCGUGCGCAACCAGGAGCUAGAGGCGACGAACCAGCAGCAGCAGCAGACGCUC